rnacentral:siRNA from 1 species
UGGAGGUGUAUUCUGUGAUUCU